AGCAGUUUCCUCAUCGCAAAACACAUUGCAGCUUCAUGAGGAUGCCGGGACAAGGAGGACGAAAAGGAGGAGGAGGUCACAUUCUCUGACACAUUCCGUACAACAGAGGCAUACUCAUGCCGUCAACCAGUCUCUGGGGGUAUUCUUUCUUUAUUUUUGCAACCUCCUCCCGGUGUGAACGAAAUUUGCGCGAAAGGCACCCAAGUAUAGUCACCUCCAUCAACCCAGCGUGCAUCGUCCGAUAGUCUUCUUCUAGUCCGUCCUGUCCUGCGAUGCCUCUCCAAAUCUGGCCGCUGAAUCACGCAGGGAUCUGCUACCCCUGCUACCGGAUGCACCGACAGCGAUACAGUUUUUGGGAGACAUUACGGCGGGCUCAGAUACAUGUGGAUGACUGCGAGAACCCCCUCCUUGGUGGGAACCAGUAGAAGAGCGGCAUCAGACGGGCGGUCACAUUUCGCGCAAGGCCCAUCGCACCGACUUCCUGGCCCUGGUGGCAGAGCGAUGGUGGCAUCUAGGAAUCUAGGAACUUGCAUCACGCGAUACACGACUCACAGUGCACCCGUUCCGAUGCACCUGCGCUGAGCCACGGAAGAAUGUGGCCAACCAUGCUGGUGGCGAAGUGUUGCACAUAGCUGUUGCACACCCUCCCUCCCCCCAACCCACACCCCGUUCGUACGCGCUAAUUACGCCCCCAUCCACCCGCAGAUGCAGAUGACCCAACGUGGAUUAGUCACCUGAUGUACGAUUAGUGCUUUUAGUGCCCCGCUUGUCCGAAAACCCGGAAGAUUGAGGAUCAAACUCGGUUGGUGAGUUGGUAAGCGUAAAAAUAACAUAACUCGUGGCCAGC